AGAGUUUGAUCCUGGCUCAGGAUAAACGCUGGCGGCGCACAUAAGACAUGCAAGUCGAACGAACUUAACCUAUAGUUUACUAUUGGAGCGGUUAGUGGCGGACUGGUGAGUAACGCGUGAGCAACCUGCCUUUCAGAGGGGGAUAACGUCUCGAAAAGGACGCUAAUACCGCAUGAUAUUAUGGAGCCACAUGGCUCUAUAAUCAAAGGAGCAAUCCGCUGAAAGAUGGGCUCGCGUCCGAUUAGGUAGUUGGCGGGAUAACAGCCCACCAAGCCGACGAUCGGUAGCCGCGG
rnacentral:rRNA from 1 species